CCCUGGUUAGCUCAGUUGGUAGAGCGCUCCACCUGUAAUGGAGAGGUCCCGGGUUCGAUACCCGGAUUAGGCG
rnacentral:tRNA from 2 species